UAAAUGUAUGUAAUCAUGUAAAAGCAUAUGUAUCUAACAUAAUUCUGUAUUUUCAGCCAAGCAGAAUUAUGAAUAAUUCCAUUUGGUGUCACACUCUUAGGAAAAAAGGUUCUUUGGGGUUCUAUAUAGAACCCUAUGGUUCUUUACUCAGCUCUAAAGAACGCUUUCUGCCAAAAAGGUUCUAUUUACAAAGAUUUACAGAAAAAAAGAACGUCCUUUGGGUUGACAGUUGCUUAAUGUGAAUAUGUGUGUUUAUGUAUAAAUUACAUUAUUGAAAGUUUUCUUUAUAAAUUGUUUUGAACGCUACACUACAUUCCUUUUGCAUCUGCAUUUCAUAUUGAAGAAAAAUAUUUUUUUUUACAAUGUACUUCUACAUCUUUGGGUUUGAUUAGAAAAGAAUAAAUGACAGAAGAUCAGAUCCAAUGUCCUUUCCCUUUUAGAUGACAGGUUUAUCUUAGUAUUAAUAUACAGUCUAUGGUAUAGUCUAUUCUUGACUCAUAAUUCAACAAAUGAUGCAAAAAAUUUUGUUUAUCAUAAACAGCAAACAACUUGAGUGCGUAGCGCUAUAAGUAAGAACUAUAAAUUAAUUUGUAGAUUAAUAUAUUUUUUUUCUUUUUUAUUUUGACCUAACUCUUUGUCAUUUAUGACUUACACAUUUAUUUCAGCAAGCACAAAGAAUAAAUGUUGACAAAACUGUCCAGGCCUGUGAUAUUCUCCACCAGGAGUUUCCAGGAGCACAUCACAGCAUUGAAUUAAGCUAACUGCACUGAUUAAUCAAGCUCUAUUCAAGAGUGUGAAUAUGUCAAAUGUCCAAAGUCAAAGAGAGGAAGUGAUGGAAAUGUUUAAUUUCUCAACUUCAAAGACCUUCACCUAACUCAGAGCACUUCUGAAGUUCUGGACAUCACAUCAUCAGAGCCAUGACAAGUGAAAGUCAAAAGGGACAUCUGACUUCAAAACAAUGGCAUAAACAAUAUCAUUAAAGUGGCUCUGGAGUGCAGCAUUACUAGUCAUGAUCAGCACAUCCAUCCUCAACCUGAUCUUUCAAAUGGUGUCCAGACCCCUCAGAGAGUGCAAAGAGUCGGCAUCAAACUGAUGACAUGGAGAUGGCCGAAGUGAAGUUUUGUAUAAUUUGUUGUAUCAAAAAGACCUCACUCAGUUUGUCAGACCAGUGGCAACAAAAUGAUUCUGUAUCUGCCCCAGUGCUAAAAUUGUUUAAUAGCUUUUCAUUGGUCAUUUGUUUUUAUUUAGUUAUUUAGUUUUUAACUUGUUUAUGAAUCUUA